AUGGCUACCUUCACUUCCCAGGUCAGCGCGAUGGCCGGCGCCUCCCCGUCGAGCUCUCUCUUCGUGAGCCGGCGGCGGCCGGCGGUCAUGCCCCUGCAGAUGCGGGUUGCUCGUGGCGGGCGGCCGCGCGGGUUGGCGAUGCGGGUGACGUGCGAGAAGGUGGUGGGAAUCGACCUGGGCACCACCAACUCCGCCGUCGCGGCGAUGGAGGGCGGUAAGCCGACGGUGAUCACCAACGCCGAGGGCCAGCGGACGACGCCGUCGGUGGUGGCGUACACCAAGGGAGGAGAACGGCUAGUGGGCCAGAUUGCCAAGAGGCAGGCCGUCGUCAACCCGGAGAACACCUUCUUCUCCGUCAAGCGCUUCAUUGGACGCAAGAUGGCUGAGGUAGAUGACGAGGCCAAGCAGGUCUCAUAUAACGUUGUGCGCGAUGAGAACGGAAACGUCAAGCUCGACUGCCCUGCUAUCGGCAAGCAGUUCGCAGCGGAAGAGAUAUCCGCGCAGGUAUUGAGGAAAUUGGUGGACGAUGCAUCUAAGUUUCUGAAUGACAAAAUUACAAAAGCGGUGGUUACCGUUCCAGCGUACUUCAAUGACUCGCAGAGAACAGCAACAAAGGAUGCUGGCCGUAUUGCAGGGCUGGAAGUUCUCCGCAUUAUAAAUGAGCCAACUGCUGCAUCUCUUGCUUAUGGUUUUGAGAAGAAAAACAACGAAACGAUUCUAGUGUUUGACUUGGGUGGCGGUACUUUUGAUGUCUCUGUAUUGGAGGUUGGAGAUGGUGUAUUUGAGGUGCUUUCCACAUCUGGGGACACACACUUAGGUGGAGAUGACUUUGAUAAGAAAAUUGUAGAUUGGCUUGCUAGCACCUUCAAGAAUGAUGAAGGCAUCGAUCUUCUUAAGGAUAAACAAGCCCUUCAGCGUCUUACUGAGGCAGCAGAAAAAUCUAAGAUGGAAUUGUCAACGCUAACACAGGCGAACAUUAGCUUGCCAUUCAUAACUGCUACUGCUGAUGGGCCCAAACACAUUGAGGCAACCCUCUCUAGAGCUAAAUUCGAGGAACUGUGUUCAGAUCUGAUUGAUAGGCUUAAAACUCCUGUUAAUAACGCCUUGAAAGAUGCCAAGCUAUCUGUUAGUAAUCUAGAUGAAGUGAUUCUUGUGGGUGGAUCCACCCGAAUCCCUGCAGUGCAAGAAACUGUUAGGAAGAUAACAGGCAAGGAUCCUAAUGUUACAGUCAACCCUGAUGAGGUUGUUUCUCUUGGGGCGGCCGUACAGGGUGGAGUUUUGGCUGGAGAUGUGAAGGAUGUUGUUCUUCUUGAUGUUACUCCAUUGUCAAUUGGUUUGGAGACGUUGGGUGGAGUGAUGACGAAGAUUAUCCCCAGGAAUACAACACUGCCCACCUCCAAAUCAGAGGUAUUCUCAACGGCUGCUGAUGGACAGACAAGUGUUGAGAUUAAUGUCCUCCAGGGAGAGAGAGAGUUUGUCAGGGACAACAAGUCUCUUGGAAGCUUCCGACUGGAUGGGAUCCCUCCUGCACCACGUGGUGUACCACAAAUUGAAGUGAAGUUUGACAUUGAUGCCAAUGGCAUUCUGUCAGUAGCAGCUGUUGAUAAGGGUACUGGAAAGAAGCAGGAUAUCACCAUCACUGGUGCUAGUACACUACCAAAGGACGAGGUCGAGAGAAUGGUAGAAGAAGCCGACAAGUUUGCCCAGGAGGACAAAGAGAAAAGAGAUGCUAUUGACACCAAGAACCAAGCAGACUCUGUGGUGUACCAGACGGAGAAGCAACUGAAGGAGCUUGGGGACAAGGUCCCUGCUCCUGUGAAAGAGAAGGUUGAUGUAAAGCUCCAGGAACUGAAAGAUGCCAUUGCUGGUGGAUCGACACAGAGCAUGAAAACUGCCAUGGAGGCUUUGAACCAGGAGGUAAUGCAGAUCGGACAGGCUAUGUACAACCAAACUAGUGCCGGUGGUGCUGGCUCUACUGAUGCUGAAACUGAGCCUGGUGCUGGAUCAACAAGCUCAGGAAAGGGACCAAAUGAUGGAGAUGUUAUCGACGCGGACUUCACAGAUAGCAAUUAA
rnacentral:rRNA from 1 species